rnacentral:snoRNA from 1 species
AAAGCCCAUGAUGGUAUGAGAGUAGUGGACAGAAGGGAUUUCUGAAAAACACUUUUCUGAGGCUUU